rnacentral:rRNA from 1 species
GAUGAACGCUGGCGGCGUGCUUAACACAUGCAAGUCGAACGAAGCACUUUAUUUGAUUUCCUUCGGGACUGAUUAUUUUGUGACUGAGUGGCGGACGGGUGAGUAACGCGUGGGUCACCUGCCUUGUACAGGGGGAUAACAGUUGGAAACGGCUGCUAAUACCGCAUAAGCGCACAGCAUCGCAUGAUGCAGUGUGAAAAACUCCGGUUGUAUAAGAUGGACCCGCGUUGGAUUAGCAAGUUGGGGAGGUACAGGCCCACCAAGGCGACGAUCCAUAGCCGACCUGAGAGGCUGGCCGGCCACAUUGGGACUGAGACACGGCCCAAACUCCUACGGGAGGCAGCAGUGGGGAAUAUUGCAAAAUGGGCGAAAGCCUGAUGCACCGACGCCGCGUGAGCUAAGAAGUAUUUCGAUAUGUAAAGCUCUAUCAGCAGGGAAGAUAAUGACGGUACCUGACUAAGAAGCACCGGCUAAAUACGUG